rnacentral:rRNA from 1 species
UACAGAGGGUGCAAGCGUUGUUCGGAAUUAUUGGGCGUAAAGGGCUCGUAGGCGGUUUGUCGCGUCGGGAGUGAAAACUCAGGGCUUAACCCUGAGCCUGCUUCCGAUACGGGCAGACUAGAGGUAUGCAGGGGAGAAUGGAAUUCCUGGUGUAGCGGUGAAAUGCGCAGAUAUCAGGAGGAACACCGGUGGCGAAGGCGGUUCUCUGGGCAUUACCUGACGCUGAGGAGCGAAAGUGUGGGGAGCGAACAGG